GCGGUGGCGGGUGCUAUACAUGCAGUCGACGCACUCUCGUUUAGAUUGAAGGAGCUUGCUCCUGAUUGAUAAACAUUUGAGUGAGUGGCGGACGGGUGAGUAACACGUGGGUAACCUGCCCUAAAGUGGGGGAUAACAUUUGGAAACAGAUGCUAAUACCGCAUAAAACCUAACACCGCAUGGUGUAGGGUUGAAAGAUGGUUUCGGCUAUCACUUUAGGAUGGACCCGCGGUGCAUUAGUUAGUUGGUGAGGUAAAGGCUCACCAAGACCGUGAUGCAUAGCCGACCUGAGAGGGUAAUCGGCCACACUGGGACUGAGACACGGCCCAGACUCCUACGGGAGGCAGCAGUAGGGAAUCUUCCACAAUGGACGAAAGUCUGAUGGAGCAACGCCGCGUGAGUGAAGAAGGUUUUCGGAUCGUAAAACUCUGUUGUUGGAGAAGAAUGUAUCUGAUAGUAACUGAUCAGGUAGUGACGGUAUCCAACCAGAAAGCCACGGCUAACUACGUGCCAGCAGCCGCGGUAAUACGUAGGUGGCAAGCGUUGUCCGGAUUUAUUGGGCGUAAAGCGAGCGCAGGCGGUUUCUUAAGUCUGAUGUGAAAGCCUUCGGCUCAACCGAAGAAGUGCAUCGGAAACUGGGAAACUUGAGUGCAGAAGAGGACAGUGGAACUCCAUGUGUAGCGGUGAAAUGCGUAGAUAUAUGGAAGAACACCAGUGGCGAAGGCGGCUGUCUGGUCUGUAACUGACGCUGAGGCUCGAAAGCAUGGGUAGCAAACAGGAUUAGAUACCCUGGUAGUCCAUGCCGUAAACGAUGAGUGCUAGGUGUUGGAGGGUUUCCGCCCUUCAGUGCCGCAGCUAACGCAUUAAGCACUCCGCCUGGGGAGUACGACCGCAAGGUUGAAACUCAAAGGAAUUGACGGGGGCCCGCACAAGCGGUGGAGCAUGUGGUUUAAUUCGAAGCAACGCGAAGAACCUUACCAGGUCUUGACAUCCUUUGACCACUCUAGAGAUAGAGCUUUCCCUUCGGGACAAAGUGACAGGUGGUGCAUGGUUGUCGUCAGCUCGUGUCGUGAGAUGUUGGGUUAAGGUCCCGCAACGAGCGCAACCCCUAUUACUAGU
rnacentral:rRNA from 2 species